rnacentral:rRNA from 1 species
UAGCCGUAAACGAUACUCGCUAGGUGUCGGCCACGGUGCGACCGUUGUCGGUGCCGUAGGGAAGCCGUGAAGCGAGCCACCUGGGAAGUACGGCCGCAAGGCUGAAACUUAAAGGAAUUGGCGGGGGAGCACCACAACGGGUGGAGCUUGCGGUUUAAUUGGAUCCAACGCCGGAAAUCUUACCGGGACCGACAGCAACAUGAAGGCCAGGCUGAAGACUUUGCCGGAUUAGCUGAGAGGAGGUGCAUGGCGUAGUCGUGU